rnacentral:lncRNA from 1 species
GCUGACGUUUGGAGGGGGAAGGAAGGAAAGGCGUCGCGUUCAUUGUUUAGAUGGUGUCGCACCCUAGAACCUUACUAAUAAUCGAACCUAUGCCCUUAUUAUCGUUGUACUGUUCCUUAUGUGCUAGUCUAUUCUGUCAUGAAUUUGUUUACUCGAACAGCAAACUGCUAUGAUAGUAGUAUAUCAUUGUACAUCAUGCAUAUCAUUGCCUGACAAUGUUAUCGUGUUCGUCUAGUAAUGAUAUCAUCCAGGUUAAUUGUUACUAGUAAAUUUCAGUUUCAGCAGCUAUGAUAGUAGUAUAUCAUUGUACAUCAUGCAUAUCAUUGCCUGACAAUGUUAUUGUGUUCGUCUAGUAAUGAUAUCAUCCA